rnacentral:rRNA from 1 species
ACAAAUUUUUUUUUGAUUACUUUAAAAAUUAUAAAGUGGAAUUAGAAUUUUUUGUGAGAUUUUGUUUGUAAUUUUAAAUUUUGGUUGAACGAACUAGAUUAGAACCUAGUUAGACAAAUAUUAAAAGAGCAGAAGUAAAGUUGUAUUUAAACUGAAAGGAUAUUGGCAGGUGAUCUAAAUUAUCUUUGGAGGCUGAGUAAUAAUUGAGAACCCUCAUUAGCUACUUUAUCUAUUUUCGCAUGUAUGAUCGUUUAUUUAAAUCUUAAAGGUAGUAAUUAAAGAUUAUGUUUUCUAUAAAAACAGAUAAAUACCUGGUAUAUGAUUAAAGUAAGAUUUGGCCUACAUUAUUUUAUAAUGUGGAUGAUAUUUUUGGCAG